rnacentral:lncRNA from 1 species
GAAUAUACAAGUUAUUAUUUUUGUGUUUGAACGGAUGAACCCGUUGCCUACGUACCUUUCCAUGGAAGGUAAGGAUCAAAACGCCAUAGUUCGGCUAAAAGAUUUCCAAAAUAUGAAUGGAUUCAUUUUAAAACAAAAGCCCUAAGGUCUUUCGUUAUCCACGGGAGAAAACUCAACCUUAUACCAACAACAAGUCCACCAUGCGAGAAAAGCUUCAACUUGCUAGUGAGGGGUUAACC